UGGGGAAUUUUCCGCAAUGGGGGGAACCCUGACGGAGCAACGCCGCGUGCGGGAGGACGGCCUGUGGGUUGUAAACCGCUUUUCUCUAGGAAGAAGGUCUGACGGUACUAGAGGAAUCAGCAUCGGCUAACUCCGUGCCAGCAGCCGCGGUAAGACGGAGGAUGCAAGCGUUAUCCGGAAUUAUUGGGCGUAAAGCGUCCGUAGGCGGUUCAUCAAGUCAGUUGUUAAAGACUGCAGCUCAACUGUGGGCGAGCAACUGAAACUGAUGAACUAGAGUGCGGUAGGGGUAGAGGGAAUUCCCAGUGUAGCGGUGAAAUGCGUAGAUAUUGGGAAGAACACCAGUGGCGAAGGCGCUCUACUGGGCCGCAACUGACGCUGAGGGACGAAAGCUAGGGGAGCGAAAGGGAUUAGAUACCCCCGUAGUCC
rnacentral:rRNA from 1 species